rnacentral:rRNA from 1 species
CAGCCGUAAACUAUGCGCGUUAGGUGUAUCGGUGACCACGAGUUACCGAGGUGCCGAAGAGAAAUCGUGAAACGCACCACCUGGGAAGUACGGUCGCAAGGCUGAAACUUAAAGGAAUUGGCGGGGGAGCACCACAACAGGUGGAGCCUGCGGUUUAAUUUGGAUUCAACGCCGGACAUCUCACCGGAUAAGACAGCUGAAUGAUUGUCAAUCUGAAGGUUUUACAUGACUAGCUGAGAGGUGGUGCAUGGCGUCAGUGACU